rnacentral:rRNA from 1 species
CCUACGGGAGGCAGCAGUGGGGAAUAUUGGGCAAUGGGCGCAAGCCUGACCCCGCAACGCCGCGUGCAGGAAGAAGGCUUUCGGGUUGUAAACUUCUUUUCUGAGGGACGAAGAAAGUGACGGUACCUCAGGAAUAAGCCACGGCUAACUACGUGCCAGCAGCCGCGGUAAUACGUAGGUGGCAAGCGUUAUCCGGCUUUAGUGGGGGUAAAGGGCGUGUAGGCGGGAAAGCAAGUCAGAUGUGAAAAUUAAGGGAUCAACCCUGAGCCUGCAUUUGAAACUGUUUUUCUUGAGUGCUGGAGAGGCAAUCGGAAGUGCGGGUGUAGCGGUGAAAUGCGUAGAUAUACGGAGGAACACCAGUGGCGAAGGCGGAUUGCUGGACAGUAACUGACGCUGAGGCGCGAAAGCGUGGGGAGCAAACAGGAUUAGAUACCCUUGUAGUC